ensembl:snRNA U4 U4 spliceosomal RNA
AGCUUUGUGCAGUGGCAGUAUCGUAGCCAAUGAGGUUUAUCCGAGGCGCGCUUGUUGCUAAUUAAAAGUAUAGCAUUUUUAUCUUUUAAAGUGAGGCUAUGGAAAGUCUUCUAAAAUUAUUGUCCCCUUUCGCAAGG